GAGACACCCUUCUGGGGCAAGACUUGCUUCGGUGGGGCUUUGGUGCUCACUGAGUCUUCCCCCUUAGUGUUUUCCU
rnacentral:pre_miRNA from 1 species